rnacentral:pre_miRNA from 1 species
UCUAGGAUGACACGCUUCCUUAUAUCCUCAUAUGUAUCGGUCAAAUAUGGAAUGUAAGGAAGUGUGUGGUUUUAGG